rnacentral:rRNA from 1 species
UACGUAGGCAGCGAGCGUUGUUCGGAAUUACUGGGCGUAAAGAGUGUGUAGGCGGUGCUCUAAGUCUGUCGUGAAAUCUCCCGGCUUAACCGGGAGGCUGCGGCGGAAACUGGUGCGCUAGAGGGUGGGAGAGGUAAGCGGAAUUCCUGGUGUAGCGGUGAAAUGCGUAGAUAUCAGGAGGAACACCUGCGGUGUAGACAGCUUACUGGACCACUUCUGACGCUGAGACACGAAAGCGUGGGUAGCAAACAGG